CAGUCGUACGCUUCUUUUUCCACCGGAGCUUGCUCCACCGGAAAAAGAAGAGUGGCGAACGGGUGAGUAACACGUGGGUAACCUGCCCAUCAGAAGGGGAUAACACUUGGAAACAGGUGCUAAUACCGUAUAACAAUCGAAACCGCAUGGUUUUGAUUUGAAAGGCGCUUUCGGGUGUCGCUGAUGGAUGGACCCGCGGUGCAUUAGCUAGUUGGUGAGGUAACGGCUCACCAAGGCUACGAUGCAUAGCCGACCUGAGAGGGUGAUCGGCCACAUUGGGACUGAGACACGGCCCAAACUCCUACGGGAGGCAGCAGUAGGGAAUCUUCGGCAAUGGACGAAAGUCUGACCGAGCAACGCCGCGUGAGUGAAGAAGGUUUUCGGAUCGUAAAACUCUGUUGUUAGAGAAGAACAAGGAUGAGAGUAACUGUUCAUCCCUUGACGGUAUCUAACCAGAAAGCCACGGCUAACUACGUGCCAGCAGCCGCGGUAAUACGUAGGUGGCAAGCGUUGUCCGGAUUUAUUGGGCGUAAAGCGAGCGCAGGCGGUUUCUUAAGUCUGAUGUGAAAGCCCCCGGCUCAACCGGGGAGGGUCAUUGGAAACUGGGAGACUUGAGUGCAGAAGAGGAGAGUGGAAUUCCAUGUGUAGCGGUGAAAUGCGUAGAUAUAUGGAGGAACACCAGUGGCGAAGGCGGCUCUCUGGUCUGUAACUGACGCUGAGGCUCGAAAGCGUGGGGAGCAAACAGGAUUAGAUACCCUGGUAGUCCACGCCGUAAACGAUGAGUGCUAAGUGUUGGAGGGUUUCCGCCCUUCAGUGCUGCAGCUAACGCAUUAAGCACUCCGCCUGGGGAGUACGACCGCAAGGUUGAAACUCAAAGGAAUUGACGGGGGCCCGCACAAGCGGUGGAGCAUGUGGUUUAAUUCGAAGCAACGCGAAGAACCUUACCAGGUCUUGACAUCCUUUGACCACUCUAGAGAUAGAGCUUCCCCUUCGGGGGCAAAGUGACAGGUGGUGCAUGGUUGUCGUCAGCUCGUGUCGUGAGAUGUUGGGUUAAGUCCCGCAACGAGCGCAACCCUUAUUGUUAGUUGCCAUCAUUCAGUUGGGCACUCUAGCAAGACUGCCGGUGACAAACCGGAGGAAGGUGGGGAUGACGUCAAAUCAUCAUGCCCCUUAUGACCUGGGCUACACACGUGCUACAAUGGGAAGUACAACGAGUCGCGAAGUCGCGAGGCUAAGCUAAUCUCUUAAAGCUUCUCUCAGUUCGGAUUGUAGGCUGCAACUCGCCUACAUGAAGCCGGAAUCGCUAGUAAUCGCGGAUCAGCACGCCGCGGUGAAUACGUUCCCGGGCCUUGUACACACCGCCCGUCACACCACGAGAGUUUGUAACACCCGAAGUCGGUGAGGUAACCUUUUGGAGCCAGCCGCCUAAGGUGGGAUAGAUGAUUGGGGUGAAGUCUCAAA
rnacentral:rRNA from 1 species